UACGUAGGGUGCAAGCGUUAAUCGGAAUUACUGGGCGUAAAGCGUGCGCAGGCGGUUUUGUAAGUCUGUCGUGAAAUCCCCGGGCUCAACCUGGGAAUUGCGAUGGAGACUGCAAGGCUAGAAUCUGGCAGAGGGGGGUAGAAUUCCACGUGUAGCAGUGAAAUGCGUAGAGAUGUGGAGGAACACCGAUGGCGAAGGCAGCCCCCUGGGGUCAAGAUUGACGCUCAUGCACGAAAGGCGUGGGGAGCAAACGAGG
rnacentral:rRNA from 1 species